GUUUGCAAGCGGAGACUUUACUGGUGGGAUGUUGCUCACUGCCUUCUGAAGCAUGACCGUUAUCAUCAAUUGCACUGUCCACAUGUGGUAUGUCAGCAUCGUUUUCUAGGAGUUCUCCACUCAACAAGAAUUGUGGUGGCAGACGAUAUCCCUUGAAGCGACAAAAGGCAACUAACUGAGCUCGAGCAAUAGUGAGAUCCAAUCUAUCAGCCCGACAAGUUGGUGAUAGGGCUAAUGCUUUCAUAUAGUGCAGGAGCUUAUCAGGUACAAAGGAAGUGACUCCAGUUGAUUUGUCCACUCCAUAUCUUUUGCUUGCUUCUUCACGAAUCCCAGUGUUCUCCACAAUCUGACAUGAAAUCUCAUCAUAGGAAUCUUUAGGCGUGCAUGAGCAAGCAAGGCCAAGUUCAACCCGUCUUGAAACCUCUUCUAAAGCACUGCUUAUAGCGUUUUGAAAUGUUUCUGAAUUACUUUGCUUCUCAAUCUGAGAGAAAUAAGAACAGAAUGGCCUCAACACAGAUGCAUCAUUCCAAGCAAAAGUUCGAUCACCAAAAUAAGCUACCAAAAAACCAUCUUUCUUAUGGUACUUGAUAGCCUUUUCUGAAGCAUCAGAAGGAUCAAAUAUCUGUCCAGGCCACCAAGGAUGGCUUCUAACCUUUCCCCAGACUAAAUCAGAAAUAGAGUAGUCGCCCUCAUUUUCUGGUGGAAUAAGAUAACCAGGAUGCAUAUUCAACAAGCUCACAGGCUUCUCACUAAACAUCAGUGUGUGGCUUGUCUCGGAUACAACUUCUUCAGUUCCUUUGUCUUGCUCUGGAGAUUCUUGCACAGUACCAGGAUUUAGUUUCUUAACUUCACCUUUCUCAUGCUCAUCUGUAACCUUCAUUAUUUCUGGAGCAUGAUGGAAAACAAGAUCCUCAGUUGCCUUGAAAGAGUCCUGGUCCUCAUUGACUUGAUUCAUCUUGGUAUCGCUGGCAUCAAAAAUACAAGUUCCUACAAUUUGAUCACUAACUGGAGGGACAUCAUCACCAAAAUUUAUAGCAACCCCAGAUUUUAUAGCAUCCUCUAAAUUAGAGUUGUUCUCUU
rnacentral:misc_RNA from 1 species